GCCCAGGUAGCUCAGUUUGGUUAGAGUGUUGUUGGAAAUUCUAAGGUUGCAGGUUCGAUCCCUGGUCAAGGCA
rnacentral:tRNA from 1 species